rnacentral:rRNA from 1 species
UACGUAGGUGACAAGCGUUGUCCGGAUUUACUGGGCGUAAAGAGCGCGCAGGCGGUCGUUCAAGUCGAGUGUGAAAGCCCCCGGCUCAACUGGGGAGGGUCAUUCGAUACUGAUCGACUCGAAGGCAGGAGAGGGAAGUGGAAUUCCCGGUGUAGUGGUGAAAUGCGCAGAUAUCAGGAAGAACACCCGUGGCGAAGGCGGCUCUCUGGGACGGUACUGACGCUGAGACGCGAAAGCGUGGGGAGCGAACAGG